AUUGAACGCUGGCGGCAGGCCUAACACAUGCAAGUCGAACGAGUGGCGGACGGGUGAGUAAUGUCUGGGAAACUGCCUGAUGGAGGGGGAUAACUACUGGAAACGGUAGCUAAUACCGCAUACCAUCAGAUAUGCCCAGAUGGGAUUAGCUUGUUGGUGGGGGAACGGCUCACAAAGGCGACGAUCCCUAGCUGGUCUGAGAGGAUGACCAGACAGUCUGUAACUGAGACAAGGGCCAGACUCCUACGGCAGGCAGCAGUGGGGAAUAUUGCACAAGGGGCGCAAGCCUGAUUCAGCCAUGCCGCGUGUAUGAAGAAGGCCUUCGGGUUGGAAAGUACUUUCAGCGGGGAGGCGUUACCCGCAGAAGAAGCACCGGCUAACUCCGUGCCAGCCGCCGCGGUAAUUC
rnacentral:rRNA from 1 species